rnacentral:rRNA from 1 species
UACGAAGGGGGCUAGCGUUGCUCGGAAUCACUGGGCGUAAAGGGUGCGUAGGCGGGUCUUUAAGUCAGGGGUGAAAUCCUGGAGCUCAACUCCAGAACUGCCUUUGAUACUGAGGAUCUUGAGUUCGGGAGAGGUGAGUGGAACUGCGAGUGUAGAGGUGAAAUUCGUAGAUAUUCGCAAGAACACCAGUGGCGAAGGCGGCUCACUGGCCCGAUACUCAUGCUGAGGCACGAAAGCGUGGGGAGCAAACAGG